rnacentral:rRNA from 1 species
UACGUAGGGUGCAAGCGUUAAUCGGAAUUACUGGGCGUAAAGCGUGCGCAGGCGGUUUUGUAAGUCAGAUGUGAAAUCCCCGGGCUUAACCCUGGGAACUGCAUUUGUGACUGGCGGGCUAGAGUAUGGCAGAGGGGGGGUAGAAUUCCGACGUGUAGCAGUGAAAUGCGUAGAGAUGUGGAGGAAUACCGAUGGCGAAGGCAGCCCCCUGGGCCAAUACUGACGCUCAUGCACGAAAGCGUGGGGAGCAAACAGG